rfam:Flavobacteriales bacterium ALC-1 1103813602123, whole genome shotgun sequence.
GCGAAAGUAGCUCAGGGGUAGAGCAUCACCUUGCCAAGGUGGAGGUCGUGGGUUCAAAUCCCAUCUUUCGCU